AACAGAACACGCGCCGAUUUGAGCCACCAGCUUGCGGGCGCGAAAUAAAUGCAGCUAAAGCGUGGGGAAGGGCGGCAG
rnacentral:ncRNA from 2 species